rnacentral:rRNA from 1 species
CUUGAACGCUGGCGGCCGGCCUAACACAUGCAAGUCGAACGAGUGGCGGACGGGUGAGUAAUGUCUGGGAAACUGCCUGAUGGAGGGGGAUAACUACUGGAAACGGUAGCUACUACCGCAUACCAUCAGAUGUGCCCCGAUGUGAUUAGCUAGUUGGUGGUGUAACGGCUCACCCAGGCGACGAUCCCUAGCUGGUCUGAGAGGAUGACCAGCCACACGGGAACUGAGACACGGUCCAGACUCCUACGGGAGGCAGCAGUGGGGAAUAUUGCACAAUGGGCGCAAGCCGGAUGCAGCCAUGCCGCGUGUAUGAAGAAGGCCGUCGGGUUGUAAAGUACUUUCAGCGGGGAGGCGUUACCCGCAGAAGAAGCACCGGCUAACUCCGUGCCAGCAGCCGCGGUAAUUC